UACGGAGGGUGCGAGCGUUGUCCGGAAUCACUGGGCGUAAAGGGCGCGUAGGCGGCUCAUGAAGGCUGUGGUGAAAGUCCGGGGCUCAACCUCGGAUCGGCCGUGGCGACUCGUGGGCUGGAGCACUGUAGAGGCGGGUGGAAUUCCGGGUGUAGCGGUGGAAUGCGUAGAGAUCCGGAAGAACACCAGUGGCGAAGGCGGCCCGCUGGGCAGUGGCUGACGCUGAAGCGCGACAGCGUGGGGAGCGAACAGG
rnacentral:rRNA from 1 species